CCCAGCAGAACCUUCCACCCCCUCGUCGCCUCCUCGUCCUCUGCACGACUUUUCCACCCGCCUCCCCGAGUCCCCCCGCCCCAAAACCCGACGCUCCAAAUCGCCCAGCUCGCUGAUCCGCAAGGAUCUGUCGGAAGCGGAGGCAGCCACACUACCGGAGCCGGGAGGACAGGCAGGCGGCUGUGGUGGCGAGGCCGUCAGCGGCGUCGUCGGCCGCGGCUGGGGUAUCUGCGAUGAUAACCCGGUCGAAGCUGGUGGAGCAGCUGCGCGACUACCAGAUCCGAUCCCAGCACAAGCGUGACAUCAUUGGAGCCAUAUCAUGGGGCUUGCUGUGUUGUCUCCUAAUAGUUUCCUCGUACAUGAUGCUAUACUUCAGGCACUUCUGGUUAUCAGCUGUUAUUAUCUGUGUUGGUAUUCUUCUUCCUGCCGGCCUGUAUAUUUUGAGGCAGAGAAAGCUGGCUAAGAAAAGAGAGAGAAGAUUAUUGUUGCCUCUCUCCAUGUAAGGUUACUGGUAGUGGUAGGUUUCCCUUAUUUUGUGGUUAUUCUUGACUAGAGAGAAUCCACAUUCUUGGCUUGCUUAGCACACAUCCAAUGGUUCAUAGGCCUCUGCUGCCCAGUAUACGUCCAUACUCUUUACUAAAGUGCUGGAAGAAAUACCAUCAUUCUUUGAGCUCCAGUGUUGUGUGAGUAGAUAAUCUCCAAUGCUCUUUUGGUACAUGUAGCUUGUGCUUUUUGCUGCACUUCAUUUUCUUUGUUCGUUUAAUAGUGCUUGCAACCUGAAAAGGCAUGUCAAUGUAUCCGACCACCUCGUCUCACACUUGUAACAAAAGAAGAAGAAAAAAGAUUGUUUUGUUA